rnacentral:rRNA from 1 species
GUAGGUGGCAAGCGUUGUCCGGAAUUAUUGGGCGUAAAGCGCGCGCAGGCGGUUCUUUAAGUCUGAUGUGAAAGCCCACGGCCCAACCGUGGAGGGUCAUUGGAAACUGGAGAACUUGAGUACAGAAGAGGAAAGCGGAAUUCCACGUGUAGCGGUGAAAUGCGUAGAGAUGUGGAGGAACACCAGUGGCGAAGGCGGCUUUCUGGUCUGUAACUGACGCUGAGGCGCGAAAGCGUGGGGAGCAAACGGGGGAUUAGAUACCCUGGUAGUCCACGCCGUAAACGAUGAGUGCUAAGUGUUAGGGGGUUUCCCGCCCCUUAGUGCUGCAGCUAACGCAUUAAGCACUCCGCCUGGGGAGUACGGCCGCAAGGCUG